rnacentral:misc_RNA from 1 species
AACGCACAUUGCGCCCGCCGGUAUUCCGGCGGGCAUGCCUGUUCGAGCGUCAUUUCAACCCUCAAGCCCAGCUUGGUGUUGGGGCACCCGGCCGCCUGGCGGCCCGGGGCCCUCAAGUGUAUCGGCGGUCUCGUCGGGACUCUGAGCGCAGUAACUCGCGGUAAAACGCGCCUCGCUUGGUCUGUCUCUGGCGGGCUCCAGCCGCUAAACCCCCCCUCUAUCCCAGAGUUGACCUCGGAUCAGGUAGGAUUACCCGCUGAACUUAA